GUAGUCAUGGUCGAGUGGUUAAGGCGAUGGUUUAAAAAUCCAUUGGAUUUUCCCCCAUGUAGGUUCGAAUCCUGCUGACUACA